AUGGACGCAAGUCUGAUGGAGCAACGCCGCGUGAGUGAAGAAGGCUUUCGGGUCGUAAAACUCUGUUGUUGGAGAAGAAUGGUCGGCAGAGUAACUGUUGUCGGCGUGACGGUAUCCAACCAGAAAGCCACGGCUAACUACGUGCCAGCAGCCGCGGUAAUACGUAGGUGGCAAGCGUUAUCCGGAUUUAUUGGGCGUAAAGCGAGCGCAGGCGGUUUUUUAAGUCUGAUGUGAAAGCCCUCGGCUUAACCGAGGAAGCGCAUCGGAAACUGGGAAACUUGAGUGCAGAAGAGGACAGUGGAACUCCAUGUGUAGCGGUGAAAUGCGUAGAUAUAUGGAAGAACACCAGUGGCGAAGGCGGCUGUCUGGUCUGUAACUGACGCUGAGGCUCGGAAGCAUGGGUAGCGAACAGGAUUAGAUACCCUGGUAGUCCAUGCCGUAAACGAUGAAUGCUAGGUGUUGGAGGGUUUCCGCCCUUCAGUGCCGCAGCUAACGCAUUAAGCAUUCCGCCUGGGGAGUACGACCGCAAGGUUGAAACUCAAAGGAAUUGACGGGGGCCCGCACAAGCGGUGGAGCAUGUGGUUUAAUUCGAAGCAACGCGAAGAACCUUACCAGGUCUUGACAUCUUUUGAUCACCUGAGAGAUCAGGUUUCCCCUUCGGGGGCAAAAUGACAGGUGGUGCAUGG
rnacentral:rRNA from 2 species